GACGAACGCUGGCGGCGUGCUUAACACAUGCAAGUCGUGCGGUAAGGCCCUUUCGGGGGUACACGAGCGGCGAACGGGUGAGUAACACGUGAGCAACCUGCCCUUCACUUUGGGAUAACUGCCGGAAACGGUGGCUAAUACCGGAUAUGACUUCCUCACGCAUGUGGGGUGGUGGAAAUCCUUCGGGCGGUGGGGGAUGGGCUCGCGGUCUAUCAGCUUGUUUGUGGGGUGAUGGCCUACCAAGGCUUCGACGGGUAGCCGGCCUGAGAGGGUGACCGGCCACACUGGGACUGAGAAACGGCCCAGACUCCUACGGGAGGCAGCAGUGGGGAAUAUUGGACAAUGGGCGAAAGCCUGAUCCAGCAACGCCGCGUGAGGGAUGACGGCCUUCGGGUUGUAAACCUCUUUCGCCUGCGACGAAGCGAGAGUGACGGUAGCAGGUAAAGAAGCACCGGCCAACUACGUG
rnacentral:rRNA from 1 species